rnacentral:rRNA from 1 species
UACAGAGGUCUCAAGCGUUGUUCGGAUUCAUUGGGCGUAAAGGGUGCGUAGGCGGCGCGGUAAGUCGGGUGUGAAAUCUCGGAGCUUAACUCCGAAACUGCAUUCGAUACUGCCGUGCUUGAGGACUGGAGAGGAGACUGGAAUUCAUGGUGUAGCAGUGAAAUGCGUAGAGAUCAUGAGGAAGACCAGUGGCGAAGGCGGGUCUCUGGACAGUUCCUGACACUGAGACACGAAGGCCAGGGAGCAAACGGG